rnacentral:tRNA from 1 species
CAUUAGAUGGCUGAAAUUUUAAGUGUUGGUCUCUUAAACCAAAUUAUAGUAUAUACUACUUCUAGUGA